GGGGAAUAUUGCGCAAUGGGGGAAACCCUGACGCAGCAACGCCGCGUGAGUGAUGAAGGCCUUCGGGUCGUAAAGCUCUGUCAGGUGGGAAGAAUAGGGAAAUCCCCAAUAAGGGUUUUCUUUGACGGUACCA
rnacentral:rRNA from 1 species